rnacentral:rRNA from 1 species
AUUGAACGCUGGCGGCAGGCUUAACACAUGCAAGUCGAGCGGAGAUGAGGUGCUUGCACCUUAUCUUAGCGGCGGACGGGUGAGUAAUGCUUAGGAAUCUGCCUAUUAGUGGGGGACAACAUUCCGAAAGGAAUGCUAAUACCGCAUACGUCCUACGGGAGAAAGCAGGGGAUCUUCGGACCUUGCGCUAAUAGAUGAGCCUAAGUCGGAUUAGCUAGGUGGUGGGGUAAAGGCCUACCAAGGCGACGAUCUGUAGCGGGUCUGAGAGGAUGAUCCGCCACACUGGGACUGAGACACGGCCCAGACUCCUACGGGAGGCAGCAGUGGGGAAUAUUGGACAAUGGGGGGAACCCUGAUCCAGCCAUGCCGCGUGUGUGAAGAAGGCCUUAUGGUUGUAAAGCACUUUAAGCGAGGAGGAGGCUACUGAGACUAAUACUCUUGGAUAGUGGACGUUACUCGCAGAAUAAGCACCGGCUAACUCUGUGCCAGCAGCCGCCGUAAGAC